rnacentral:rRNA from 1 species
CCUACGGGCGGCAGCAGUGGGGAAUAUUGGACAAUGGGGGCAACCCUGAUCCAGCCAUGACGCGUGUGUGAAGAAGGCCCUCGGGUUGUAAAGCACUUUCAGUGAGGAAGAACGCCUGGUGGUUAAUACCCAUCAGGAAAGACAUCACUCACAGAAGAAGCACCGGCUAACUCCGUGCCAGCAGCCGCGGUAAUACGGAGGGUGCGAGCGUUAAUCGGAAUUACUGGGCGUAAAGCGCGCGUAGGUGGCUUGAUAAGCCGGUUGUGAAAGCCUCGGGCUCAACCUGGGAACGGCAUCCGGAACUGUCAAGCUAGAGUGCAGGAGAGGAAGGUAGAAUUCCCGGUGUAGCGGUGAAAUGCGUAGAGAUCGGGAGGAAUACCAGUGGCGAAGGCGGCCUUCUGGACUGACACUGACACUGAGGUGCGAAAGCGUGGGUAGCAAACAGGAUUAGAUACCCUAGUAGUC